GCGCAGCUUACACAUGCAGUCGAGCGGUAACAGGGGGUGCUUGCACCCCGCUGACGAGCGGCGGACGGGUGAGUAAUGCAUAGGAAUCUGCCCAGUAGUGGGGGAUAGCCCGGGGAAACCCGGAUUAAUACCGCAUACGCCCUUUGGGGGAAAGCAGGGGAUCUUCGGACCUUGCGCUAUUGGAUGAGCCUAUGUCGGAUUAGCUAGUUGGUGGGGUAAAGGCCUACCAAGGCGACGAUCCGUAGCUGGUCUGAGAGGAUGAUCAGCCACAUCGGGACUGAGACACGGCCCGAACUCCUACGGGAGGCAGCAGUGGGGAAUAUUGGACAAUGGGGGCAACCCUGAUCCAGCCAUGCCGCGUGUGUGAAGAAGGCUUUCGGGUUGUAAAGCACUUUCAGUGAGGAGGAAAACCUUCUGGUUAAUACCCAUGAGGCUUGACGUUACUCACAGAAGAAGCACCGGCUAACUCCGUGCCAGCAGCCGCGGUAAUACGGAGGGUGCAAGCGUUAAUCGGAAUUACUGGGCGUAAAGCGCGCGUAGGUGGUUUGAUAAGCGAGAUGUGAAAGCCCCGGGCUUAACCUGGGAACGGCAUUUC
rnacentral:rRNA from 1 species